UCAAAUGUGUGUGUAGUGACAGCCGAGCAAAUGGAGAGGAUGAGGGUGAGACAGAGGCAGGGAUGAGAGAAGGGGAUAAAGUACGGUAGACAGCUGAAGAGGGAACUGUUAUCCUUAAAAACGGAAAGCAGAGGAUGAAGCCUGACGGAAAUGAUAAAGGAGGAUUUUAAAUCAGAAGAGAAACUGUCGGCUGAGUCUGCGAGUUCUUCUUUUGGAAUUGGGAUCUUGUUAUAGUGCAAAGGAGAGCACUCAGCAUUUCCAGAAACUGCUGCGGGGCUCAUCUGUAUGGUGGAGCGGUGGUGUGUCACCUUGAAGAAGCUCAAAAGAAAAACGGAGCCUGGACGAGCGCACAUCAAUCUCUUAAGGGAAAGGUACAGACAGACUUUCCUGCUGUUGUCGAAUCUAAAUAUUUAGCAAAACACAAUGUGCAUCCUGCCAAGGAACAGUCCCUUUCUACAGUUACAAUACAUAUUGAUUUUCCCGCCUCACAUUAAGGCAUUGAAAAACCUGACGAGAAUACAGUAAGUUUACUCCAUCUGUGGACAUGAGCAAUCAUAAUCGAAUGGAUUCAAGCUUCUUCAAAUAAGUAUUAAAGACGUUGUUGAUGCUCCGUCUCAUUUCAUAACAAUAAACUAUGGACAUUAUGGAACCAACUUGAGAUCUAACAUCUGAGUUGACCGACACUGCAGUCCGGGCCUUUACGAUGGAAUCUGAAGACAGCGUGACAGGACUGUCCACAGCUGCGUUGGUGGCCAUCGCCUGCAACGCAUUAGUUGCCAUCCUCCUACUUCUUCUCUGUCUGAUCCUCUACCGAGCCUGCGGGGUCCCCUCCAUCCCGGAGAGGCUGCCGGUGCUGGCUCCGAUCGAGGGAGAAACCCAGCCGGGGAACGAGCACAAGUACCUGUUGACCUCCUGACUGCAGAGCGAAGAGUCAAAUGUAGCAACAAGUGAUCGUCUCGGUGCACACCUCCACUGGAGAGAGGACUGAGGGGGCAAUGUGACCUGUUAGUGUUACUUAUUCAAAUUAGCUUCUGGUCUGAGUGGCUGUGACUCACAAAAAUGGCGAGAUUGAAUUAUGGUGGAGUGAGGAGACACUUCUUUCAACCAUCACUUAUUAGAUCAUUUAGCAUGGAGGAAUGGCGAUGCGUUCAACGCACAGUUCGACAAAAAUUGCAUGGCCAUAAAUAUGGAUGCUUGAUUCAAAACGGCCACAAUAAUGAAAUGUUCCUAACACAAAGAACGAAUAGCAUGUUGUUUUAGGUUUCUAAAUAUAUCCUCUUAUUCUCGAAAAAAAAACAAGCACCCCAGUAUAUUGCUGAGAGCAUGGACUUGAGCUUGUGUGUGUGUGUGUCAUUGUCACUCAUAAAUACGGGCGAUCUGUGCGGCAUAGCGCCCUGCUGAGGGUGUUACAUAAGGACUGGAGAGGCUUGGAUGAGAUUUGUUUCCUCUUCAACACGGCCCUCACACUGACAUCUGCUUGUGGCUGUACGUCAUGGCCCACUCAAUCUGGACUGAAUCACAGGACGGACACUUGAAGGGAUCAAUCAUGUGGAAUUCUACAGAUGGCGAACAGAAGCUGUGCACGUUUUCCCACCACACGUUAUCAAUACUUGAGCAUUUAAUCACGAUCACUGGAGAUGCUACUUCAGACUCAACAAGGCAUGUUGUAGAGUUAAAAAGACAUUAUGAUGUGUAUGUUAAACUUUACCUUCAAGGCUUUCAGCUAACUAGAGUUACACACUGAUGCUGCGAUUACCUUUGGAAUUUGGAAAGCUGGGAAUGAAGCAAACCCGAGAUGACUGCGUUUUAGUAAAGUAGGUUGGAAAAUAAAAUUCAAGUUAGCUUAAAUAGCAAUACCAGAUUAUGACAAUGCCUUACUCCAAAUCUAAGGCGAUAUCCAGUGUCGUAUCAAAAUAUUGAUAUAUUGUCAAAGCCUACUUUAAGAGGCGAUCCAGGCGAAAGCUCUCACUACCAUGCAACACAACAAAAGCAAGCAAGUAGUAAAUAUGUCUAAUAAAGAUUCUGCUGUGUGUGUAGAGAAAGAUAAUGUCCAACUUUGCCAGUCAUAGUGCCAACAUUGCACUGUGACUGACAGCAAAGUACACUGCGUUAUUACAAAAACAUUCAUCACUGAAAUAUUUCUACAGGUACACUCUGGGAAUACUUCUGUUGUUGCCAUGACAUUGUGACCUCUGAUUCUAACUACUGGACCACAUUCCCAUUCAACCCAAAUAUGACGAAACAAUCAACAAAACUUAAAAUAAAACCAACAGUUCUUUGCCCAAACCUGCAUAAUGCUUCUUAUUACCUCAGUAACAAGGUAACUGGUGCAGCUGAAAUCUCAUUUUAACCCCAGUGCCAGAGUAAUCUGUUACGCAUUGUCUGUAAAAAAUAAGGUGAUGGAGCAGCCAUCGAAGUAAUGAAUCACACUUAAGGGAGAGAGUGCUGCAUGUGUUCGCAGGAAGAUGUGAAGGGCAGAGGAUUUCUCUGUAGCAGAGGGGGGGGGAAGAAAGACAGCACUGUGGCAGCAUUUGAUUCCAGUUGAGCUUCAGAGCACUGGGUGGUGCUUUACUGAAGGACAAGAUCAUUAGGACCGAGAGGAAUGGAGGAAAAGGCAAAAUAAAGAUAGAGACAGCCAUGACUCAAAGCAAAGUUCUCUCCGUAGAUGGGAUAUUCAAAGGCUUCGAGCUGGACCGCUGCCCAGGACGGCGUGUGCCAUCCAAGAUAGUUUGUCUGGAUAUGUUCCAUAAAUGCUUAAUCUAUUACGCUCAUAUAUCUCUAACUCGCAGUAACUCACCCCCUUCACUUUUUAGCCUAAUUAACUUGUACAAUACAUACUGAACGUGUUUAAUACAUCCUGCAGAAGAGGUCAGUCAAUGCAUUGGAAUUCUAACGUUGCCUGUUUGACAUGUACUGCAGUAUGAAUAAAUGCAUUAUUAACUGAAUAGGAUUAAUGUUUUGACAGCUUAAGAGAGAUGACAUGAAUUUUUUUUUAAUAAACUCAAACAAAUCGUU